rnacentral:rRNA from 1 species
UACGAAGGGGGCGAGCGUUGUUCGGAAUUACUGGGCGUAAAGGGCGCGUAGGCGGCCGAUCAAGUCAGAUGUGAAAGUCCUGGGCUUAACCUGGGGACUGCAUUUGAUACUGAUUGGCUUGAAUGCAGGAGAGGAUAGCGGAAUUCCCAGUGUAGAGGUGAAAUUCGUAGAUAUUGGGAAGAACACCGGUGGGCGAAGGCGGCUACCUGGACAAUUGCUGACGCUCAGGCACGAAGCGUGGGGAGCAAAAGGG